rnacentral:lncRNA from 1 species
AGAAAUUGAGUAAGUUAUUAUAAUCCUAAUAAAUAUACUAAAUAGCAGGAAAUACUCUUAAGUUGAAUAGAAUGUUUGUAUAAUGAAUUAAUGAAAUAAAAUGCUAAAAACAAAGAAUUGAUAUGGAAAAUAAAAUGUAGUGGUAAAUUACAGAGAAAAGCAAGAGUAAUUCUGUUGUUGAAUGACUAGGGCUGGAAUUAUUCAGGUGAAAUGCUCAUAUCAAAAUAAUGUCAGGG